ACGAAAGGGGCUAGCGUUGUUCGGAAUUACUGGGCGUAAAGCGCACGUAGGCGGCCAUGUAAGUUGGGGGUGAAAUCCCGGGGCUCAACCCCGGAACUGCCUUCAAAACUACAUAGCUAGAGGAUGUGAGAGGAUAGUGGAAUUCCGAGUGUAGAGGUGAAAUUCGUAGAUAUUCGGAAGAACACCAGUGGCGAAGGCGACUGUCUGGCACAUUUCUGACGCUGAGGUGCGAAAGCGUGGGGAGCAAACAGG
rnacentral:rRNA from 1 species